AGAGUUUGAUCCUGGCUCAGGAUUAACGCUAGCGGCAGGCCUAAUACAUGCAAGUCGAACGGUAACAGGUGUAGUAAUACAUGCUGACGAGUGGCGCACGGGUGCGUAACGCGUAUGCAACCUACCUAUAACUGGGGAAUCUCUCUUCGAAAGAAGAAUUAAUACCGCAUAAAAUUCUUGGGAGACAUCUCCCGAUUAUCAAAACUCCGGUGGUUAUAGAUGGGCAUGCGUGACAUUAGCUAGUUGGUGAGGUAACGGCCCACCAAGGCUACGAUGUCUAGGGGGUCUGAGAGGAUGAUCCCCCACACUGGUACUGAGACACGGACCAGACUCCUACGGGAGGCAGCAGUAAGGAAUAUUGGACAAUGGGGGCAACCCUGAUCCAGCCAUGCCGCGUGAAGGAUGAAGGCGCUCUGCGUUGUAAACUUCUUUUAUACGGGAAUAACACACGCUACGUGUAGCGUGCUGAAUGUACUGUAAGAAUAAGCAUCGGCUAACUUCGUGCCAGCAGCCGCGGUAAUACGAAGGAUGCAAGCGUUAUCCGGAUUUAUUGGGUUUAAAGGGUGCGUAGGCGGCUUACUAAGUCAGUGGUGAAAGCCCGGAGCUCAACUCCGGAAUUGCCAUUGAUACUGAUGAGCUUGAGUACACUUGAGGUAGGCGGAAUGUGUCAUGUAGCGGUGAAAUGCUUAGAUAUGACACAGAACACCGAUUGCGAAGGCAGCUUACUAAAGUGUAACUGACGCUGAGGCACGAAAGCGUGGGGAUCAAACAGGAUUAGAUACCCUGGUAGUCCACGCCCUAAACGAUGAUUACUCGUUGUUGGCGAUACACUGUCAGCGACUGAGCGAAAGCAUUAAGUAAUCCACCUGGGGAGUACGUCCGCAAGGAUGAAACUCAAAGAAUUGACGGGGGCCCGCACAAGCGGAGGAGCAUGUGGUUUAAUUCGAUGAUACGCGAGGAACCUUACCAGGGCUUGAAAGUUAAGGAAUGAUGUAGAAAUAUGUCAGUCAGCAAUGACCUGAAACUAGGUGCUGCAUGGCUGUCGUCAGCUCGUGCCGUGAGGUGUUGGGUUAAGUCCCGCAACGAGCGCAACCCCUAUCAUUAGUUGCUAACAGGUAAUGCUGAGGACUCUAAUGAGACUGCCCGCGCAAGCGGUGAGGAAGGUGGGGAUGACGUCAAGUCAUCACGGCCCUUACGUCCUGGGCUACACACGUGCUACAAUGGCCGGUACAGAGGGCAGCUACUUGGUAACAAGAUGCUAAUCCUUAAAGCCGGUCUCAGUUCGGAUUGAGGUCUGCAACUCGACCUCAUGAAGCUGGAUUCGCUAGUAAUCGUAGAUCAGCAAUGCUACGGUGAAUACGUUCCCGGGCCUUGUACACACUCCCGUCAAGCGAUGGAAGUUGGGAGUACCUAAAGUCGGUCACCGCAAGGAGCCGCCUAGGGUAAAACCGAUAACUGGCGCUAAGUCGUAACAAGGUA
rnacentral:rRNA from 1 species